UACGGGGGGGGGCAGGCGUUGUUCGGAAUUACUGGGCGUAAAGGGCGCGUAGGCGGUUGGAUAAGUCAGCUGUGAAAACCACGGGCUUAACUCGUGGCCUGCAGUUGAGACUGUCUGGCUUGAGUGUGGGAGAGGAGAGUGGAAUUCCUGGUGUAGCGGUGAAAUGCGUAGAGAUGUGGAGGAACACCGAUGGCGAAGGCAGCCUCCUGGGCCAACACUGACGCUCAUGCACGAAAGCGUGGGGAGCAAACAGG
rnacentral:rRNA from 1 species